CAAUUUACUUAUUUUUAGUUUUACAGUACUUUUUACUGCACUUCAUUCAUCCAAACUGCUUUAGUUACUAGUUACUUUACAAAUUAAGAUUUUUACACAUAAAACAUGUGAUUAUUAUUUUGGCGUGCUCUAUUUGUUUUGUAUAGGUUUGUUAACUUUGCAUUCUGCUGUGAUGCCCAGAGCCCUUUCACCAGAGAAGAGCUCAUAAACAUCAGACGAACAACACCAGCGGUUUAAAUUCAGACUUUUUUUGUGUCAUCAGUGGAAUUAUUGGACAUUCUGGUCAAGGCUUUACUUUCCGUUGUUCAUGCGUUGAAACGCUGGAGGAGGGGGAGGAGGUCUGGUACGCUGGUGCGACAACGCCAAAGAGGACACUGUACGCCGCUACCGCAAAUAUUUCUCUCCGACGUGCGCUCACAAGGUGGAGGUGUCUGUUUUUAUAUUAACUGUGGCUGGUGUAACGAUGAGAAAGUGAUUCAGCAGCACUGUUCUCAUGACCUGGAAUAUUUACUGAUACACUGUAAACCUUUUUACUCUCCCCGUGAGUUUGUUUCCUACUUUCUGCUCGGUGUUUACAUUCCAUCGUAAGCAAACCUGCACGACGCACGGUGCAUGCUGGUCGUCUGUGGUUAGAGUGGAUAUUCCCGGACUACUUCUUCUUGGUGACUUUAACAAAGGAAACCUCCCCGAAUACAGACUGUUUAUAAAGUGAGAAGAACAUUUUGGAUCACACCAUUGAGCAGUGCCUAUUACACCGUCACCUGCACUCCACAGGGACACCGAUCACAGCCUUGUGCACCUGAUUCCUGUUUACAGACAGAAAUUAAAGCUCUGUAAACCUGUGGUGAGGACAUCAAAGCAGUGGACAAGUGAAGGUGUAGAGGACCUUAAGGCGUGUUUGGACUGUACUGACAGAUGUUUUCAGGACUGCAAAAGUCUGGAUGAGUUUACGGAGGCUGGGACGUCCUACAUCAGCUUCUGUGAGGACAUAUUUAUACCAACACGCUCCAGGGUGAGUUAUAACAAUGACAAACCCUGGUUUACAGCCAAACUCCAACAGCUGAGGUUGGAAAAGGAAGAGGCGUUUAGGAGUGGAGAAGAGGCCAGGUUUAAGAAUCAGGUUACUCAGAGAAACUUCAACACCAGCUCUCAAGAAACGACUCUACUUCUGUCUGGAGUGGCAGUCGACAAUGUGGACUCCUUCUGCUUCCUGGGCACCAUCAUAUACCAGGACCUCAAGUGGGAGCUAAAAAUCACCUCCAUCACCAAAACAGCCCAGCAGAGGAUGUACUUUACUGUACUGUAGUUAAGCCUGCCAAAGACAAUGAUGGUGCACUUCUACACCGCCGCGUUUUAGUAUAGGUGGUAAGAUUUUUAAGUUUAGGCAACAAGACAAGAAGUGUCAAGGUGUCCCGCCCUCCCUCACCUUGUAUGCUAUGUAGCGGUCAUCCAGGGCGUGCUUAAUGAGAAGGUUCUUGAGGACGCUCACGGACAGCUGUCUGACCUCGGGCCCUUGCUGCAAGGCCUCGGCCACUUCUCUCAGCAACAGACCCACCAGGAAGUGGUUACGGCAGUAGUCCUCCGUCAGGCUGAACUCCAGACUCUGCUCUGUGGUUGGGCCAGAAAGGAAGUGACGAUGGCAUUCAGACCUUGAUGAAACUGGCCAGGCUCAGGUUGAUGCAGCGAGCUUCCUCUUGGAUUUCCAUGUGGCGGAUAGUGAUGUGUGGCAUGAUGGACAACACCAGCGACUGGAGCGCCUGGUGGAAACUUUCAG